rnacentral:rRNA from 1 species
UACGUAGGGACCAAGCGUUGUUCGGAUUUACUGGGCGUAAAGGGCGCGUAGGCGGCGUGACAAGUCACUUGUGAAAUCUCCGGGCUUAACUCGGAACGGUCAAGUGAUACUGUCGUGCUAGAGUGCGGAAGGGGCAAUCGGAAUUCUUGGUGUAGCGGUGAAAUGCGUAGAUAUCAAGAGGAACACCUGAGGUGAAGACGGGUUGCUGGGCUGACACUGACGCUGAGGCGCGAAAGCUAGGGGAGCAAACGGG